rnacentral:rRNA from 1 species
AGAGUUUGAUCCUGGCUCAGGACGAACGCUGGCGGCAUGCCUAAUACAUGCAAGUCGAACGAGUUCCCGUUGAUUGACGUGCUUGCACUGAUUUCAACAUUGGAACGAGUGGCGAACUGGUGAGUAACACGUGGAAAACCUGCCCAGAAGCAGGGGAUAACACUUGGAAACAGGUGCUAAUACCGUAUAACAACAAAAACCGCAUGGUUUUUGUUUGAAAGGUGGCUUCGGCUAUCACUUCUGGAUGGUUCCGCGGCGCAUUAGCUUGUUGGUGGGGUAACGGCUCACCAAGGCGAUGAUGCGUAGCCGACCUGAGAGGGUAAUCGGCCACAUUGGGACUGAGACACGGCCCAGACUCCUACGGGAGGCAGCAGUAGGGAAUCUUCCACAAUGGACGCAAGUCUGAUGGAGCAAUGCCGCGUGAGUGAAGAAGGGUUUCGGCUCGUAAAACUCUGUUGUUGAAGAAGAACGGGUGUCAGAGUAACUGUUGACAUCGUGACGGUAUUCAACCAGAAAGCCACGGCUAACUACGUGCCAGCAGCCGCGGUAAUACGUAGGUGGCAAGCGUUGUCCGGAUUUAUUGGGCGUAAAGCGAGCGCAGGCGGUUUCUUAAGUCUGAUGUGAAAGCCUUCGGCUUAACCGAAGAAGUGCAUCGGAAACUGGGGAACUUGAGUGCAGAAGAGGACAGUGGAACUCCAUGUGUAGCGGUGGAAUGCGUAGAUAUAUGGAAGAACACCAGUGGCGAAGGCGGCUGUCUAGUCUGCAACUGACGCUGAGCUCGAAAAGCAUGGGUAGCGAACAGGAUUAGA